rnacentral:snoRNA from 1 species
AUGACUAUACUUUCAGGGAUCAUUUCUAUAGUUCUUUACACACACAUAAAUAUAUAAAGCAUAUAUACCCAGUGUUGCUGUGGG